rnacentral:lncRNA from 1 species
UUGCAAUAUACUUGGGUUAAUUCUGCUAACAACGGUCAACAUUCAAGGAUAGAUUUUUGGUUAAUUUCUACAAACCUAAUUAAUAAUGUGCAUAAAUGUGAGUGUUGAAUGUUAUUUUGUGUGCUCUUACACCUUACUAUUGUUUGUGGCCGUGGUUGAUGAGUAUCAGCUGUUGUAAUCAGUUGCUGGGUGUGGUAAUCAAUAAAUGACUGCCUGCCACUUCUCUCUGUGUGUGUUGGUGCAUGGCAGUCAAACCAAAGACUAGCUGUGUGAUUCCUUUCCUCUGUCAUGUUCCUCUGCCGGCGCUCCUAUCUUUAAGAUGGCAACUUCAACAGGUUAUGGGCCCAGGAAAGAUGUUGGAGGUCGAUGGAGUCGUUUGUGUUUCGACGGAGAUGAGAAAAAUUAUGAACUUUGGGAAACUAAGUUUCUGGCACACCUGCGUCUACUUAGUCUAAAGAGCACCAUCAUCAAUGAAGCACCCAGUGAUGAUGAGGAAGGUGCAGAGGCCGACGCUGAGAAAAAUGAAGACGCUUAUGCAGAGCUGAUUCAAGUAUUGGAUGAUAAAAGCCUGUCACUUGUAAUGAGGGACGCAACAGAUGAUGGCAGAAAGGCGCUAAAGAUUCUAAGGGAACACUAUGCUGGUAAGGGGAAACCCCGAGUGAUCAGCUUAUACACUGAGUUAACAUCCCUUCAGAAAGCUGUUAAUGAGAGCGUCACGGACUACGUCAUCCGGGCAGAGAAAGCGAUUACGUCACUGAGACAUGCAGGAGAGACUUUUAGUGAUGACUUGUUGAUCGCUAUGAUUUUGAAAGGUCUGCCGGAACAAUUUAAGCCCUUCUCUAUCCACAUAACCCAGAGUGAUGAGAAGUUGACUUUCGUUGAGUUUAAGGCCAAACUCCGCAGCUAUGAGAGCACUGAAAGGUUCAAUGCUGUUGAUUCAGACAGUGACAGCGUGAUGAAAGCCAGAGGAAAAGAAAGCUGGAGCAUGAAACUGACCUGUUAUACCUGCGGCCAGAGGGGGCAUAAAGCUGCAGAGUGUACUGCUACAACUGGAGAGCGCAGGGAACAGAGACAGUGGUGCCGUCUCUGCAAGAGCUCCACACACAAGGAUGUCA